rnacentral:rRNA from 1 species
CGCGAANAANCUUACCUGGUCUUGACAUCCACAGAACAUUCCAGAGAUGGGAUGGUGCCUUCGGGAACUGUGAGACAGGUGCUGCAUGGCUGUCGUCAGCUCGUGUUGUGAAAUGUUGGGUUAAGUCCCGCAACGAGCGCAACCCUUAUCCUUUGUUGCCAGCGGUCCGGCCGGGAACUCAAAGGAGACUGCCAGUGAUAAACUGGAGGAAGGUGGGGAUGACGUCAAGUCAUCAUGGCCCUUACGACCAGGGCUACACACGUGCUACAAUGGCGCAUACAAAGAGAAGCGACCUCGCGAGAGCAAGCGGACCUCAUAAAGUGCGUCGUAGUCCGGAUUGGAGUCUGCAACUCGACUCCAUGAAGUCGGAAUCGCUAGUAAUCGUGGAUCAGAAUGCCACGGUGAAUACGUUCCCGGGUCUUGUACACACC